rnacentral:rRNA from 1 species
GGCUCAGAUUGAACGCUGGCGGCAUGCCUUACACAUGCAAGUCGAACGGCAGCACGGGUGCUUGCACCUGGUGGCGAGUGGCGAACGGGUGAGUAAUACAUCGGAACAUGUCCUGUAGUGGGGGAUAGCCCGGCGAAAGCCGGAUUAAUACCGCAUACGAUCCACGGAUGAAAGCGGGGGACCUUCGGGCCUCGCGCUAUAGGGUUGGCCGAUGGCUGAUUAGCUAGUUGGUGGGGUAAAGGCCUACCAAGGCGACGAUCAGUAGCUGGUCUGAGAGGACGACCAGCCACACUGGGACUGAGACACGGCCCAGACUCCUACGGGAGGCAGCAGUGGGGAAUUUUGGACAAUGGGCGAAAGCCUGAUCCAGCAAUGCCGCGUGUGUGAAGAAGGCCUUCGGGUUGUAAAGCACUUUUGUCCGGAAAGAAAUCCUUGGCUCUAAUACAGUCGGGGGAUGACGGUACCGAAGA